GACGAACGCUGGCGGCGUGCCUAAUACAUGCAAGUAGAACGCAGUUGCGAACGGGUGAGUAACGCGUCGGUAACUGCCUCAUAGCGGGGGAUAACUAUUGGAAACGAUAGCUAAUACCGCAAACUGUGUGAUGGACCUGCGUUGUAUUCGUUAGUUGGUGAGGUAAAGGCUCACCAAGGCGACGAUACAUAGCCCACCGGAGAGGGGGAUAGGACAGACUGGAACGGAGAACCGCCCCAGACUCCCCCGGCAAGCAGAAGUAGGGCAUCUGCGUAUAAGGACGGAAGGCUGACCGAGCAACGCCGCGUGAGGGAAGAAGGUUUUCGGACCGUAAAGCUCUGUUGUUACAGAAGCGAUACCUAACCAGAAAGGGACGGCUAACUACGUGCCAGCAGCCGCGGUAAUUC
rnacentral:rRNA from 1 species